AUUGAACGCUGGCGGCAUGCCUUACACAUGCAAGUCGAACGGCAGCACGGGUGCUUGCACCUGGUGGCGAGUGGCGAACGGGUGAGUAAUACAUCGGAACAUGUCCUGUAGUGGGGGAUAGCCCGGCGAAAGCCGGAUUAAUACCGCAUACGAUCCACGGAUGAAAGCGGGGGACCUUCGGGCCUCGCGCUAUAGGGUUGGCCGAUGGCUGAUUAGCUAGUUGGUGGGGUAAAGGCCUACCAAGGCGACGAUCAGUAGCUGGUCUGAGAGGACGACCAGCCACACUGGGACUGAGACACGGCCCAGACUCCUACGGGAGGCAGCAGUGGGGAAUUUUGGACAAUGGGCGAAAGCCUGAUCCAGUAAUGCCGCGUGUGUGAAGAAGGCCUUCGGGUUGUAAAGCACUUUUGUCCGGAAAGAAAUCCUUGACUCUAAUACAGUCGGGGGAUGACGGUACCGGAAGAAUAAGCACCGGCUAACUACGUG
rnacentral:rRNA from 1 species